UGUGUCUGUGUGUGUGGUUGUAGGAGUGUGUGUGUGGUUGUAGGUGCCUGUGUGUGCAUGCGUACAUGGUUGUAGGGGCAUGUGUGUGCAUGUGUGCAUGGUUGUAGGUGUAUGUGUGUUUGUGUGUGUGUUUGUAGGUGUGUGUGUGUCUAUGUGUGUGGUUGUAGGUGCCUGUGUGUAUGCGUGCACGGCUAUAGGGGCAUGUGUGUGUAUGCGUGCCUGGUCGUAGGAGUGUGUGUGUCUGUGUGUGGUUGUAGGAGUGUAUGUGUCUAUGUGUGUGUGGUUGUAGGAGUGCGUGUAUCUGUGUGUGUGGUUGUAGGAGUGUGUGUGUCUGUGUGUGUGGUUGUAGGAGUGUGUGUGUCUGUGUGUGGUUGGAGGAGUGUGUGUGUCUGUGUGUGUGUGGUUGGAGGAGUGUGUGUGUCUGUGUGUGUGGUUGGAGGAGUGUGUGUGUCUGUGUGUGUGUGGUUGGAGGAGUG
rnacentral:lncRNA from 10 species